rnacentral:lncRNA from 1 species
GGUGAGCCCGUAAAACCAACAAAGGUUUUGGUGAACCCGGAAAACCAAAGUGUAUAGGUUCGUUGGUGAGCCCGCAAAACCAACAAAGGUUUUUGGUGAACCCGGAAAACCAAAGUGUAUAGGUUCGUUGGUGAGCCCGUAAAACCAACAAAGGUUUUGGUGAACCCAGAAAACCAAAGUGUAUAGGUUCGUUGGUGAGCCCGUAAAACCAACAAAGAUUUUUGGAUUGUGAGCCCGGAAAACAAUCCAACUAUAAUCCGCGAGAUUAUAGUGAAUUCCCAAGGGGACGCUUGGGGAGUGGACGUAGGUGCUAAGAAGAGCACCGAACCACUAUAUAUUGUUGUGUUUGUGUUGUGCUUGUGUUUUCAUUUACUCUUGCAUCAUCUUCUACUCUUGCGUUAGUUUAACUCACUCAAAUAGCUUAAGAAACCAUCCACCGCACUUAAUUAAGAAAACAUUUAAAGCAUCAAAAUUUAGAAGAAACCAAUUCACCCCCCCCC